rnacentral:lncRNA from 1 species
GUUGUCUCAUAUUCGCUUAGCCAUUUUUGAUUGGAUAAGCUGACUUCCUCUGCUUUGAUGCUUCAAUUUUUGACUUGAGAUAUCCUUAACAUAUUCCUUUCUUCUUUGCUUAAUCUACAUUUGCAUCUGUAAACCAGAAAAUGAUGUACGGAUCACAAUACUCAUCAUUAAAUCACCUAAAACUGAAAACAUACAAAGAUGGGGAAAAAGCACAUGUUUUCUACUUAACUAAGUUAGUAAAUUCUUUCAUUGUUAUUGGGCCACUCGGACCACGGUCUAGAUAUCUAGUUUUUAGCGUGAGGGAUGCCUGUUAUAAAAGAGUCUCAUAUUGCACAUGUUUUAAAAAUGAGGUUAAUGAUCACCUUACAAGUCAGUUUUAUAAGAAUAAUUAUAUCUCUUAAAAAAUAGUGUAAACAAAAUGACAGUCAAAUCACUCAAAUAUAACCUCAAGUUCAUCACAUUCUCAAACUUUAAUAGUAAAUCGGAUAAGUACAAACAUAAUAUAUUAUUCAAGUGCUAUAUAUUCUACUUAUAUGUGGUGGAAAGCUGGAAAGAAGUGGGAGUAGCUGUUGCAACAACAAAUUCUUUAAUCAUA